UAAUACGUAGGGUGCAAGCGUUAAUCGGAAUUACUGGGCGUAAAGGGUGCGCAGGCGGUACUGUAAGUCAGAUGUGAAAUCCCCGGGCUUAACCUGGGAAUUGCGUUUGAAACUACAGAACUAGAGUGUAAUAGAGGGAGACGGAAUUCCAUGUGUAGCAGUGAAAUGCGUAGAGAUAUGGAAGAACAUCGAUGGCGAAGGCAGUCUCCUGGAUUAACACUGACGCUCAUGCACGAAAGCGUGGGGAGCAAACAGGAUUAGAUACCCUGGUAGUCCACGCCCUAAACUAUGUCAACUAGUUGUUGGGCUUUAAAAAGCUUAGUAACGUAGCUAACGCGUGAAGUUGACCGCCUGGGGAGUACGGUCGCAAGAUUAAAACUUAAAGGAAUUGACGG
rnacentral:rRNA from 1 species